rnacentral:rRNA from 1 species
GGAAUAUUGGACAAUGGGUGAGAGCCUGAUCCAGCCAUCCCGCGUGAAGGAUGACGGUCCUAUGGAUUGUAAACUUCUUUUGUAUAGGAAUAAACCUUUCUACGUGUAGAAAGCUGAAGGUACUAUACGAAUAAGCACCGGCUAACUCCGUGCCAGCAGCCGCGGUAAUACGGAGGGUGCAAGCGUUAUCCGGAUUUAUUGGGUUUAAAGGGUCCGUAGGCGGACCGAUAAGUCAGUGGUGAAAUCUCAUAGCUUAACUAUGAAACUGCCAUUGAUACUGUCGGUCUUGAGUAAAUUAGAGGUAGCUGGAAUAAGUAGUGUAGCGGUGAAAUGCAUAGAUAUUACUUAGAACACCAAUUGCGAAGGCAGGUUACCAUGAUUUAACUGACGCUGAGGGACGAAAGCGUGGGUAGCGAACAGGAUUAGAUACCCGGG